UGUAUGUAUGUACCUUACCUAAAUAAAUUGUAUUGUAUUGUAGUAAAAUAUAUUUACACAAUAAUUGGAUCCCUUGCUUAUGCGUCAGCAUUUUUUCUUUUUCUUUUUUGUAGAUAAGAAUAUAUUUGAUGUUUUUCGUUUUAUUUUGAACAUUUUCAUGGCUCGUUGAGAUUCCUGCUCUAGACUGAUGAUAUUCUGAAGGCGGGAGAAGGGCGGAGUGCUGGAGAAUGAUGACGGUGAAGGUGAGUGCUGGAGGAUGAUGACGGUGAAGGUGAAGGCGAGUGCUGGAGGAUGACGGUGAAGGGGAGUGCUGGAGGAUGACGGGGCAAGCAGAGGGAACGUUUCAAUAACACUGGGAAAAUAGUGACGGGAACUCCAAGCAGGACAACUUGUUGUGUCUCAGUCAAGGACACGAUCAGAAAAUGACAACAAAUCAUUUUGCUGUUGUUGGUUGAGGGCAUUUUCCAUAAUUUGUCCAGGAGUAUAUAACCUGCUGGAGCCGAGAGUCCGUCACCACUGUCCUCAGCAAGUCUAACAUGCAGACAACACUCAGUGAGCGCCGUGCUCCUAGCAGUGGUGACAGGUAGCCCCCUCCAGAGCUCGUCACUGCAGCUCACCAACACACCGACACAAGAUACCAAUCUGGCGCCAAUUUACACGUCGGACGAGGAGCUUGAUCAAUAUUUGGUGCUAGACGAGGGACGAGAACCGUCCCUAAACUCUGGUGAAGAUAUGGUUUGAGUCAUGAACGAAGAAAGCGACAGACCACGGUAUCCGGAUCCGCCAACACUGAUCGCCUGGGUGGUGAGGCUCGGCGAGACAGCGCUAGCAUCAACUUGGGUCACACCUUCGACAAACACACAAUCCAAGGCGGCCUCAAUGUUGACCGCACCAAAGUUCCCGGCCUUGGGAGCGAGAGGAACGUGGGAGCCAAUUUGGGUUAAGAGUUAAAGCCUAAUAAACGGACCUCCAUCACCGCCGGUGUUCAACACUCCCGGGGUGGAGGCGGCAGGUCCAACAGUUUUGGAGUUGGUUUCAGUUACACGUUCGGCCGGAAGAGGAGAUCCACAGAACUUGUAAAUAACGUCUUGUGAAGAAGUGAAAGUUGAGUGUUCCUGAGAUGCCAGCGUUCCUCUUCAGUGUUACUAGAGGGCCUCCAGAGACCCACGUCUAACUAGUCCUGUCAACGCCUCUCAUAGGCCUACUUUGGCCUGGAAGCAAUUGGUACUGUGGGUGAGAGGGAAUUCCUAGUCCAGGGAUUCGAAUCCUACUCUGCAUUAAUAAUUUUGGAUAUGUUGUAUUAAGGCAUUAUGAACUUUAGUUUGAUUAUGACUUUAGUAUUGAUAUUGUCUCUUGUUAUAUUUUUCUUCAA